rnacentral:rRNA from 1 species
AGAGUUUGAUCCUGGCUCAGGAUGAACGCUAGCUACAGGCUUAACACAUGCAAGUCGAGGGGAAACGACAUCGAAAGCUUGCUUUUGAUGGGCGUCGACCGGCGCACGGGUGAGUAACGCGUAUCCAACCUGCCCACCACUUGGGGAUAACCUUGCGAAAGUAAGACUAAUACCCAAUGACGUCUCUAGAAGACAUCUGAAAGAGAUUAAAGAUUUAUCGGUGAUGGAUGGGGAUGCGUCUGAUUAGCUUGUUGGCGGGGUAACGGCCACCAAGGCGACGAUCAGUAGGGGUUCUGGAGAGGAAGGUCCCCCACAUUGGAACUGAGACACGGUCCAAACUCCUACGGGAANCAA